UCAAGGUUGGCGUGGUUUCGAUUGUAGCUGUUGGUGUCGACGGUAUUUGUUUGGUAAAUGGUUUUAUAUGUCGUGGAACGUAGAUUUUAGGCUGUGUGCAAUGUGGUUUACGUAGAGUUACGACAAUGAAUGUUUUCCACUGUGUAUAUGUCCAGGGUGGCUUACCUGGUUAUGCAACCAAGACGCCUUGACUGAAGGUUUUAUACGAUUAUGUUCUGGAAGGUGUUACGGCACUGGAAAUUCUUGACUGUCGGUGAUUUGUUACACGGUGGAGUCUUCGUUGUAUAAAGGGAUGGACGAAUUCUGCUGACUGAUCAGGUCAAUUCCAAGGAAGUUUUACAAAGUAUUACCUGGAAUUCAAUACUCUAUAAGCAGGCAAAGUUUCACGAGCGAGCUUCCAGUUGCUACUGAAUCCCUGACUUCAUGAAGUCUGGUCGACUUAAUAACGAGCGUCUAG